rnacentral:lncRNA from 1 species
AAAAAACGAAAAAUAAAUAAAUAAAUAAAAGAAAAAAUCUUGGACUUGGACCUCUCAUUUGAGCCCACAGGUCCACAAAAAUCAGGUUAUAAAUUUAGAGUUUCAAUGAAACAAAAGGCCAUUCUAUUCCUAUUACCCUGUCUAGGAAAAAGAUAGUGAGAGAAGAACCCUGUCUGGGAAAAAGAUAGUGAUAGAAGAACCCUGUCUAUGAAAAAGAUAGUGAGAGAAGAACCCUGUCUGGGAAAAAGAUAGUGAGAGAAGAACCCUGUCUGGGAAAACCUGUCUGGGAAAAAGAUAGUGAUAGAAGAACCCUGUCUAUGAAAAAGAUAGUGAGAGAAG